rnacentral:rRNA from 1 species
GUGGGGAAUAUUGGGCAAUGGGCGAAAGCCUGACCCAGCAACGCCGCGUGAGGGAAGAAGGUUUUCGGAUUGUAAACCUCUGUCCUUGGGGACGAAGAAAGUGACGGUACCCAGGGAGGAAGCCCCGGCUAACUACGUGCCAGCAGCCGCGGUAAUACGUAGGGGGCGAGCGUUGUUCGGAAUGACUGGGCGUAAAGGGCGCGUAGGCGGCCGAUUAAGUCUGGAGGGAAAGUCCUGUUUUUAAGGCGGGAAUUGCUUUGGAGACUGGUUGGCUUGAGUGCGGAAGAGGUAAGUGGAAUUCCCAGUGUAGCGGUGAAAUGCGUAGAGAUUGGGAGGAACACCAGUGGCGAAGGCGACUUACUGGGCCGUAACUGACGCUGAAGCGCGAAAGCGUGGGGAGCGAACAGGAUUAGAAACCCGGGUAGUCC